rnacentral:rRNA from 1 species
CCCUUAGAUGUUCUGGGCGGCCCGCGCACUACAUUGGCACUCUCAAUAAGUUCCUAGAUCUAAAACUUUGGGGUAUUCUAUUAAGUGGUGUCGUGACUGGGAUUAACCCUUGCAAUUAUUGGUUACGAACGAGGAAUUCCUUGUAAUCGCGGUUUAUCAGCCCGCGUUGAAUGCGUCCCUGCCCUUUGUACACACCGCCCGUCGCUCCUACCGAUUGGGUGUGCUGGUGAAAUGUUCGGAUCGGCCGUUUGUCGCGGUUUCCGCGUCAUGUGGCUGAGAAGUUCAUUAAACCCUCCCACCUAGAGGAAGGAGAAGUCGUAACA